GAGGAUAUUGGUCAAUGGGCGAGAGCCUGAACCAGCCAAGUAGCGUGAAGGAUGAAGGCUCUAUGGGUCGUAAACUUCUUUUAUAUGGGAAUAAAGUUUUCCACGUGUGGAAUUUUGUAUGUACCAUAUGAAUAAGGAUCGGCUAACUCC
rnacentral:rRNA from 1 species